rnacentral:lncRNA from 1 species
CCUGGCUUCUGAGCACCGUCAGGGAGCUAGCGAGAGAAAGCCCCCCACCCUACCCCUUCACCCUUGCCACCAGUCCUGCUUUGCGUCACUGCAGGAAUAACAAAGCAAAGAGAUCUUGAGAAACAUUUCGAAAACCAUUUCUGUAGUUUCAGGCCCACAAGCAUUGAAUAAAAUAUUGGAUUUCAAGUCAGCCUUUCCAGGUUUGGGCAAUUAUCAACUGGAUGACUUAAAGCUCAUAAAAAUCCAGACUUUUCUCAUCUGAAACCUUUUUAAAUGUAUCCAUACUUCAGAGAGAUAAGGCAAGGUCUUGCUGUGCAGCUCCUGCCUCCACCUCCCUAAUACUGGGACAACUAAAACC